AGAAGACAGAAGACAGAACCUCUCUCUUCUUCACUUCUCUCUUCUCUCUCUUUCUUUGUCCGUUUUUUUAUUCUUUUUUUAACAACUUGUGUGCUCUUCUUCUGCUACUUCCGUUUCUUCUUCUUCUUCUUCACCGUCGCCGUCAGAUUUGACUGUUACUGUUUGUAGGAUUCAUGAGUUGAAGAGUAUGUUUGAUACUUGUGGUUCAAAAAGAGUCAAAUCUCAAGUCAUCAGUGGCCAACUCGAGAAGUUUGUCAGGUUAGAUAGUAUGGACUCGAGAUACUCGCAAGGUUCUGAAGCUGGUCUAAACAAAUGCACAUUGAACAUACAAGGACCUAAACGUUUUGCUCA